rnacentral:rRNA from 1 species
GACGAACGCUGGCGGCGUGCUUAACACAUGCAAGUCGAACGGAAAGGCCCUGCUUUUGUGGGGUGCUCGAGUGGCGAACGGGUGAGUAACACGUGAGUAACCUGCCCUUGACUUUGGGAUAACUUCAGGAAACUGGGGCUAAUACCGGAUAGGAGCUCCUGCUGCAUGGUGGGGGUUGGAAAGUUUCGGCGGUUGGGGAUGGACUCGCGGCUUAUCAGCUUGUUGGUGGGGUAGUGGCUUACCAAGGCUUUGACGGGUAGCCGGCCUGAGAGGGUGACCGGCCACAUUGGGACUGAGAUACGGCCCAGACUCCUACGGGAGGCAGCAGUGGGGAAUAUUGCACAAUGGGCGGAAGCCUGAUGUAGCAACGCCGCGUGCGGGAUGACGGCCUUCGGGUUGUAAACCGCUUUCGCCUGUGACGAAGCGUGAGUGACGGCAAUGGGUAAAGAAGCACCGGCUAACUACGUG